rnacentral:rRNA from 1 species
GUGCCAGCCGCCGCGGUAAUACGGAGGGGGUUAGCGUUGUUCGGAAUUACUGGGCGUAAAGCGCGCGUAGGCGGACUAUUAAGUCAGGGGUGAAAUCCCGGGGCUCAACCCCGGAACUGCCUUUGAUACUGGUAGUCUAGAGUUCGAGAGAGGUGAGUGGAACUCCGGGUGCAGAGGUGAAAUUCGUAGAUAUUCGGAAGAACACCAGUGGCGAAGGAGGCUCACUGGCUCGAUACUGACGCUGAGGUGCGAAAGUGUGGGGAGCAAACAGGAUUAGAAACCCGGGUAGUCC